rnacentral:rRNA from 1 species
UACGGGGGGGGCAAGCGUUGUUCGGAAUUACUGGGCGUAAAGGGGUUGUAGGCGGCCAACUAAGUCCGACGUGAAAUCCCUCGGCUUAACCGGGGAACUGCGUCUGAUACUGGAUGGCUUGAGAUUGGGAGAGGGAUGCGGAAUUCCAGGUGUAGCGGUGAAAUGCGUAGAUAUCUGGAGGAACACCGGUGGCGAAGGCGGCAUCCUGGACCAACACUGACACUGAGGAGCGAAAGCCAGGGGAGCAAACGGG